rnacentral:lncRNA from 1 species
UUCAGAUUUCAUAAAAAAAAAAGAAAAUUUCGUCAAACAUUUUUUUGAAAGGAUUAAUAUUCAACAGCAUAGUGAUUGCUCAAAGACAAAAAUAUUAUUUUAAGUUCAUUAGACCACAUUCAUUCUGUGUCCAAAACCUAUGCUGUGUCAACUAUUUAAUCACAAUCCAAAUUUAGAGCUGAAUCCAGCUUGAAUGUAGUGUCCAUACUUGCCCCAACCGUUCAGGGUUCAACCUAUGCGGUCGUAUAAAGCUGCGCCCUGCGGAGCAUCUGGUUAUA